rnacentral:misc_RNA from 1 species
GAAAUGCGAUAAGUAAUGUGAAUUGCAGAAUUCAGUGAAUCAUCGAAUCUUUGAACGCACCUUGCGCGCAUUGGUAUUCCUUGGAGCAUGCCUGUUUGAGUAUCAUGAAAUCUUCAAAGUAAAGCUUUUGUUAACUCAAUUGGUUUCUACUUUGGUAUUGGAGGUCUUUGCAGCUUCACACCUGCUCCUCUUUGUUCAUUAGCUGGAUCUCAGUGUUAUGCUUGGUUCCACUCGGCGUGAUAAGUUAUCUAUCGCUGAGGACACUGUAAAAGGUGGCCAAGGUAAAUGCAGAUGAACCGCUUCUAAUAGUCCAUUGACUUGGACAAUACUUUUAUGAUCUGAUCUCAAAUCAGGUAGGACUACCCGCUGAACUUAAGC